UAGAUUAUGGAAGAAAUUGUGGGAUUUGAUGAGUUAUGGUGCUGUCCAAUUUUUGGCAGUUUCAUGUCCAUGGGAGUAUGAUGUAAUUUGUCAUGUAAAUGGUGAUUAAGGGGUUGAUUAAGGUGUUUAAAUGUAUAAGAGUGUACUUGCAUGUAGGUGUUUGAAUUAUGUAAUUGAACAAUUGAAAUUUUGGGGGUUUUUGGAAGAAAUUGUGAGGGCUUAUAAAUUGACCAAUUUCGUAGCUUUGUGAUGCAUGGAAAAGUGUUUAAUUUCAUGAAAAUAGCUUGGUGAAUUCUGGUGCCAAGGAUGGCAGAAUGUGUAUGUAAAAAUUGUUGGGAAUGAUAAGUGGUAAUUAGGUAUGUUUAUGUAUGUAAAUUGUUGAAUUUGAACUUUGUAAUUUUGAAUUCUAAUUGGG
rnacentral:misc_RNA from 1 species